AUUGCAAGCAACACUCUGUGUCA
rnacentral:piRNA from 1 species